rnacentral:rRNA from 1 species
GACGAACGCUGGCGGCGUGCUUAACACAUGCAAGUCGAACGGUAAGGCCCUUCGGGGUACACGAGUGGCGAACGGGUGAGUAACACGUGGGUGAUCUGCCCUGCACUUCGGGAUAAGCCUGGGAAACUGGGUCUAAUACCGGAUAGGACCACUGCCUGCAUGGGUGGUGGUGGAAAGCUUUUGCGGUGGGGGAUGGGCCCGCGGCCUAUCAGCUUGUUGGUGGGGUGAUGGCCUACCAAGGCGACGACGGGUAGCCGGCCUGAGAGGGUAACCGGCACCACGAGGAGUGAGAGACGGACCAGACGCAUACGGGAGGCAGCAGUGGGGAAUAUUGCACAAUGGGAGCAAGCCUGAUGCCGCGACGCCGCGUGAGGGAUGACGGCCUUCGGGUUGUAAACCUCUUUCAGCACCGACGAAGCGCAAGUGACGGUAGGUGCAGAAGAAGGACCGGCCAACUACGUGCCAGCCGCCGCCGUAA